GAUGAACGCUAGCUACAGGCUUAACACAUGCAAGUCGAGGGGAAACGAUGAGAGAGCUUGCUCUCUUAGUCGUCGACCGGCGCACGGGUGAGUAACGCGUAUCCAACCUGCCUCUGACCAAGGGAUAACCCGUCGAAAGUCGGACUAAUACCUUAUGCAGUCGUCGGAAGUCAUCUGAUGACGACGAAAGAUUUCAUCGGUGAGAGAUGGGGAUGCGUCUGAUUAGCUUGUUGGCGGGGUAACGGCCCACCAAGGCGACGAUCAGUAGGGGUUCUGAGAGGAAGGUCCCCCACAUUGGAACUGAGACACGGUCCAAACUCCUACGGGAGGCAGCAGUGAGGAAUAUUGGUCAAUGGGCGUAAGCCUGAACCAGCCAAGUAGCGUGCAGGAUGACGGCACUAUGGGUUGUAAACUGCUUUUAUGCGGGGAUAAAGUGAGGGACGUGUCCUUCAUUGCAGGUACCGCAUGAAUAAGGACCGGCUAAUUCCGUG
rnacentral:rRNA from 1 species